rnacentral:rRNA from 1 species
UACGAAGGGGGCUAGCGUUGCUCGGAAUCACUGGGCGUAAAGCGCACGUAGGCGGAUUGUUAAGUCAGGGGUGAAAUCCUGGAGCUCAACUCCAGAACUGCCUUUGAUACUGGCGAUCUUGAGUCCGGGAGAGGUGAGUGGAACUGCGAGUGUAGAGGUGAAAUUCGUAGAUAUUCGCAAGAACACCAGUGGCGAAGGCGGCUCACUGGCCCGAUACUGACG